AAAGUAAUCCCUCCGUUCCGAAUUACUUGUCGCAGGUAUGGAUGUAUCUAGAUGUAUUUUAGUUCUAGAUACAUCCAUUUCUGCGACGAGUAAUUUGGAACGGAGGGAGUACGUA
rnacentral:pre_miRNA from 1 species